rnacentral:rRNA from 1 species
AGAGUUUGAUCCUGGCUCAGAAUGAACGUUGGCGGCGUGGAUUAGGCAUGCAAGUCGCGCGGGUGUAGCAAUACACCAGCGGCGAAAGGGACAGUAAUAUGUAGAUCAUCUACCCUCGGGUCGGGGAUAGCCGCGGGAAACUGCGGGUAAUACCCGAUAACGUCUGCGGACCAAAGGUGUGAUUCCGCCCGUGGAUGAGUCUGCAUCCUAUUAGCUAGUUGGUAAGGUAACGGCUUACCAAGGCCAUGAUGGGUAGCAGGUGUGAGAGCACGACCUGCGUCACUGGGACUGAGACACUGCCCAGACACCUACGGGUGGCUGCAGUCGAGAAUCUUCGGCAAUGGGCGCAAGCCUGACCGAGCGACGCCGCGUGUGGGAUGAAGGCCUUCGGGUUGUAAACCACUGUCAGAGGGGAGGAAAUGUACGUGGGUUCUCCCACGUACUUGACCUAUCCUCAGAGGAAGUACGGGCUAAGUUCGUGCCAGCAGCCGCGGUAAGACGAACCGUACGAACGUUAUUCGGAAUUACUGGGCUUAAAGGGUGCGUAGGCGGCGCAGUAAGUUGGGUGUGAAAUCCCUCGGCUUAACCGAGGAAUUGCGCCCAAAACUACUGUGCUUGAGGGAGAUAGAGGUGAGCGGAACUUAGGGUGGAGCGGUGAAAUGCGUUGGUAUCCUAAGGAACACCGGUGGCGAAAGCGGCUCACUGGAUCUCUUCUGACGCUGAGGCACGAAAGCUAGGGUAGCAAACGGGAUUAGAUACCCCGGUAGUCCUAGCC